UGAUAUGGCUCAGUUGGUAGAGCAGUUGAUUCGUAAUCAACAGGUCGUCGGUUCGAGUCCGACUAUCA
rnacentral:tRNA from 1 species